AGAGUUUGAUCAUGGCUCAGGACGAACGCUGGCGGCGUGCUUAACACAUGCAAGUCGAACGGAAAGGCUCCUUCGGGGGUACUCGAGUGGCGAACGGGUGAGUAACACGUGGGUGAUCUGCCCUGCACUUUGGGAUAAGCCUGGGAAACUGGGUCUAAUACCGAAUAGGACCGCAUGCUUCAUGGUGUGUGGUGGAAAGCUUUUGCGGUGUGGGAUGGGCCCGCGGCCUAUCAGCUUGUUGGUGGGGUAAUGGCCUACCAAGGCGACGACGGGUAGCCGGCCUGAGAGGGUGUCCGGCCACACUGGGACUGAGAUACGGCCCAGACUCCUACGGGAGGCAGCAGUGGGGAAUAUUGCACAAUGGGCGCAAGCCUGAUGCAGCGACGCCGCGUGGGGGAUGACGGCCUUCGGGUUGUAAACCUCUUUCAGUAUCGGCGAAGCUCCAGGAUUUUUCUUGGGGUGACGGUAGGUACAGAAGAAGCACCGGCCAACUACGUGCCAGCAGCCGCGGUAAUACGUAGGGUGCGAGCGUUGUCCGGAAUUACUGGGCGUAAAGAGCUCGUAGGUGGUUUGUCACGUUGUCCGUGAAAACUCACAGCUUAACUGUGGGCGUGCGGGCGAUACGGGCAGACUGGAGUACUGUAGGGGAGACUGGAAUUCCUGGUGUAGCGGUGGAAUGCGCAGAUAUCAGGAGGAACACCGGUGGCGAAGGCGGGUCUCUGGGCAGUAACUGACGCUGAGGAGCGAAAGCGUGGGGAGCGAACAGGAUUAGAUACCCUGGUAGUCCAA
rnacentral:rRNA from 1 species